CACAGACUGGGCAAAAACAACGUUUUCCUAGUGCUAGCUUGGGAGGUGCUUCUCUGUAUGUUAUCAGAGAAGAUGAGACCUGAGGGGAGGGAGGCUGAAGGAGUAUGCUGCCAUCCUGAGUACUAGAAAGGAAGAAAAGAAAAGCGAGGAAAGUGGCAGGAAUCUCUGAGCCACCUUAAGGAGAAAUGCAUUUGCUAAACACAGAAAAUGGAAGUCGAAUGCUUAAGCUUUUAAUUCAGCUGACUAGAAAUGUUGACGCUCAGGGGAUAAUAAUAAUACCUGGCAGAAUGUUGAAAAGGUGAAAAAGAAGCAGAGGAAAGAGAUUCAAAGUUUGUUGAAUUAUGUGCCAGAGGAGGAGCGCAUGCACAGAAGUUUCUCACAGUCCUGUUGUUUCUACGAGUGCAGCGGCCUAAUGUGUCCGGAAUUCACACCUCUGCAGUAGGCUUCCGGUUGCUUCCUAUUAACAACUCAUUCCAUGAAAACAAUUCUAUGUGUGCUGACAUUGAAAAAUAACAUCAACAUGAAGCCCAUUUAUCAGGAGCAGAAAUUAAUGACUUUACAAUAUUCCAACACAACACCAACUGAAUCUAUGCAAACGCUACACCAAAAGACUCUAUUUCAAAAAAGACAGAAUGUAUAUACAUCAGGACAUAGAACUUCAACAUUUUAUAGUGAGGAGGAGAAGUAUAAUUAAAUCCACAAAAUAAAGAGACUCCUAACAGCAAGGUAAAUGUCUAGAGAAAAAUCAGAAAAGAGCAUCCUCCACCCCUGAGUCUUCUAACAGUAAGAAGAAAAGAAGAACGAUAUGCUAGAAGCUUUGACCAGACUGCGGUUUCAGCUGCAAACACAAUUAAGAGAAAGUGAGCUAAGACUUCAACUCAGUUUGGGAAUCCGGGGCCCAGCAGACUAAACUCCACAUGCAGUUUUCAUACAAAUCCAUGGUUUUCAGACUUUCCUCAGAAAGAUCUGAAAUUUCUUCAAGUCGUUUACCUUCUUUUCCCAAGGUAUAUGUCUUCUAGAGCUAUACUUUCUAAACAGGCACAGCAGGCAAGCACCUCUAAAAUCCCAUGUAUUUUAAUUGUAUUCAAAGGCUAAAUAAAAAGAGGAAUAAAAAUCCA